rnacentral:lncRNA from 1 species
GGGGAAGGGACAUGGAGUGGGGGGGAAGGAGACAGUGGGGGGGAAGGAGACAGUGAAUUGUUUGGAAGAUUCUGUUCCCGACUUUCACAGACUAGAGCUGUCUUUCAGAGUGCUAAACGCCGCCACAUGGCCAGGAGACCAGGAGACCAGGCCAGCCUUCUCACCUCUGGCAAUGAUGGUGCGGUAUACCCGAUGAGGCAUUUCAAGGAGCCUCUAGAGAGGUAAGAAUUUAUUUGACACUGCGUUGCCAUACGAGACAAUGUUAUGUUUGCAUAUUUUGCAAACUCACUUGCUCUGUUUAAUCCUGCAGAUCAGGUUCAGAUCAGGUCAGGUUGGGCAACAUGGCUGCAUUCCAGGAUGAGUGGCAAGGAGCUGAAAAUCCUGGUCAGCCACAAUGUCAAGGACAAGUCCUACAGUGGCCUGUGGGAGACCAUGUUGACAAAGGACCCCUACAGGCACGAUUACAAGAACAUACUGGAGUUGGUGCAGCUUAUGCUGGUGCUGCCCAUUUCAGCCGCCCGGUGUGAGAGAGGCUUCUCUGUGCAGAACCGGAUUAAGAAUUCGACAAGAAGUUGCCUUGGGGUCUCUACCACUGAAGUCCUGAUGAGGAUCAGCCUGGAGGGGCCUUCUGUCGGGGAGUUCCAUCCCACUCCUGCCGUGGACCGCUAAGCGUGCCAGACGGCUGACCCCUAAGCGUGCCAGACGGCUGACCCCUAAGCGUGCCAGACGGCUGACCCCUAAGCGUGCCAGACGGUUGACCCCGAAGCGUGACCACAUACAAAAGCAGCUGGACACCUCAUGUCCUUUGCAUCUGGUAGGCAUGGGUCAUGGGUCAAUGUGUGAUUUUGAUGGUAAGUUCUGUUGCACAGAUGUGUGUCCCUUCGUACUCGCACGCAGUAUAAAUAUGUAUGUAAUAAAUUGUUUGUGGGAUUCUACUCCUGGGACAAAUAAGACAAACAGUGAAUCCUGCUCCCCAGAAACAGCAGUAAUGUCAGGUAGAAUUCCUACUGUUAAUAUUUAGCCCAGGCAGACUGACUGACGCAUCACUAGACAGGAGCAUCCUCAAAACACACAACACUCACUCACCGUGAAGGAACAGAUGACAACAUGAAGGCCUGAAACGUCCAGAUCCGUCCAAAGCUUCAUCCUCAUUACAGUCAAACUAAUAAAUGGUCUCCCAUCUAUCCCACCUUUGCACUUUUAAAAUUAGGUUUGAACAAAAAAGACACAGUGAGACUUUAUGAAGUGAACAACAGUGUUUUCUUUGAUAUGUCACUAUACUAGGGCAACUAAAUACGUAGAUGACAGUUGUUAAAAAAGGAGUUUUGAUUUCGUCAGGGAAUAGGCAUCUCUUCAGUGUUUUUUUUAUUUGGUUAUGUGCGGAUUUUCACUGGCAAGUAAUAGCUUUAAUAGCUGGGUCUUGAAUUUAAAAAAUAAAAUAAAAAUUAACCUUUAUUUAACCAGGCAAGUCAGUUAAGAACAAAUUUUUAUUUUCAAUGACGGCCUAGGAACAACUGCCUUGUUCAGGGGCAGAACGACAGAUUUGUACCUUGUCAGCUCUGGGAUUUGAACUUGCAACCUUUCGGUUACUAGUCCAACGCUCUAACCACUAGGCUACCCUGCCGCCCCUACACUCUAACCACUAGGCUACCCUGCCGCCUCUACACUCUAACCACUAGGCUACCCUGCCGCCUCUACACUCUAACCACUAGGCUACCCUGCCGCCUCUACACUCUAACCACUAGGCUACCCUGCUGCCUCUACACUCUAACCACUAGGCUACCCUGCCGCCCCAUUUAACCGAAACGUUGAUAACGUGCAGAGGUAAAAUCAUGUGUAUGGGAUAUUUUUUAUAUUUUUAUUUACUGACCCACAAAAAGCAUGUGAUUGUUAGCCCUUUGUAAAGCAUGCUAGUGUGAUUGUUAGCCCUUUGUAAAGCAUGCUAGUGUGAUUGUUAGCCCUUUGUAAAGCAUGCUANNNNNNNNNNNNNNNNNNNNNNNNNG